rnacentral:misc_RNA from 1 species
AAAGUCGUAACAAGGUUUCCGUAGGUGAACCUGCGGAAGGAUCAUUAAAAGUAAACCCGGGACCAUAAAGCGUUAUAAAACAUCAGCUGAAAUCUGAUGUCGCAUCCCGAAGGUUUUAACCAACCCUGUGAACUUAUGGUUUCUAGUUGACAACAGCUUUGAAACCAUUCUUAUCAACUCUUUUGUUUGACUGAUUAAUGGUGAACCUCGUUUAACCACGAGCGGAUCUAAAUUAUGAAUAAAGAAAACUUUCAACAACGGAUCUCUUGGCUCUC